CCAAUACCAAAGUACAAGAGAAACAAAGAUUAGAGGGGCUGCGCUGCCAUUCAAUUACCUAUGGAAUUUAUAACAUGCAAUUAGUUUCUGUUUAGUUGAGUUCAAAUAAUGUUGAUUGCGCUGUUAUAAAGCUCUUUUUUAUAGUUAGGUUGAAAAUCUUAUCGAUAUAUUCUUUAUUUAGUUGGUCCAAUUUGUAACAGAUGAGAUUGUUUUGUUUGAUGUUUCAAUCCAAAUUUGAUCCUUUUUUUUUGUGUGAAA